AUACCGUCUGUUCUUAUCCCGGCGUUCAGGAGACCAAUGCCGGAACCCUGGCAGCCGGUGAAAUACCGACAGAUGAAAUUCCGACGGCUGCCUGGUAUACCCACUCAGUUGGUGGGUCCAUGUCACCACCCGAGUGGGAAUAGAACCUGUGGUGAGCGAAGCAAGCCACUGGGCCUGAAGCGUGGCGAGCGUCAUCCCAUCUGCCGUGUAUUCCGGUCUGUUGCUAAGGCAUUGGACGCCAGCACCUGCAAAUGACGUCAUUUGGACAGAUCGGGACGCGGCGGGCGGACGGUGCCAUGCACAGUCGGAAGAGGUGAUAAAGAUAACUGGCGUCCAGACACAAGAUCCCAUACCUGUAUAUGAUUGGACACAGCUAUUUGUGUGCUAUAUUUAACCCUGCACUCUACUGAAUACUCUCUGUAUCAACAUUUAGCCAUAUCCCGCAUGUACUAGGAAAUGUGUUACUGACCCAGCAAGUAAAAGAAACAUGUUAAGAUGUAAUCUGACACCAUUAAAAUAGCUUCUUAUUAUGCAUUCAAAUUAAAUGAUUA